AUUGAACGCUGGCGGCAUGCCUUACACAUGCAAGUCGAACGGCAGCGGACCUUCGGGUGCCGGCGAGUGGCGAACGGGUGAGUAAUGUAUCGGAACGUACCUUUCAGUGGGGGAUAACGUAGCGAGAGUUACGCUAAUACCGCAUAUUCUGUGAGCAGGAAAGCAGGGGAUCGCAAGACCUUGCGCUGAUUGAGCGGCCGAUAUCAGAUUAGCUAGUUGGUGAGGUAAAGGCUCACCAAGGCGACGAUCUGUAGCGGGUCUGAGAGGAUGAUCCGCCACACUGGAACUGAGACACGGUCCAGACUCCUACGGGAGGCAGCAGUGGGGAAUUUUGGACAAUGGGGGCAACCCUGAUCCAGCCAUGCCGCGUGAGUGAAGAAGGCCUUCGGGUUGUAAAGCUCUUUCGUCCGGGAAGAAAUCGCAUCAGCUAAUACCUGGUGUGGAUGACGGUACCGGAAUAAGAAGCACCGGCUAACUACGUGCCAGCAGCCGCCGUAACAC
rnacentral:rRNA from 1 species